AAUUGAAAUAACAACUAGGAAAUGGCAAAAAACGCUAAAAUGUUAACGCGUACCAACCUAAGGAACUCGAUCUAACUGAGAAAUUGCAGCAGCAAUGUAAGAACUUACAAUUAUGAUGAUUGAAGGCAGUCCUGCCACUUCCUGCUAUAAGCCGGGCUAACUGCGGAAGCGCGAACACCGGCUACGAUAAUAUCUAUAAUCUAACGUCAAUCAACUUCAAGCACUAGCCAGUAACCCCUAAUGCAUUCCAGAUCAGACAUUGUCCAACUUCAAGAACUAAACAAAAAUAGAGUACGCUUCACUAUAAGAUAAUUAUAAUUUU